UCUUGUGCAGGUGCUAUGGAAACUUCAAGCAACUCCCAUCCCGGGACUGGACUCAGUGAUAUUUAAGUUACACAGGGAUUUCCAGACAAGCAUGGGCUUCAUGAAGCAGUCCUGUCUGAAAAAAUAUAUAAGGAAGAUUAGUAAAAUAGAAAUGUCAAGCAUGAUGGCACAUACUAUAAUUUCAGCGUUCAGAGGAAGGCUAAUGCAGACGACUGACUUUGCUUUUCAUCUGCUACUUUAUGGGCGAUGCCCCCAAUAG
rnacentral:lncRNA from 1 species